rnacentral:rRNA from 1 species
CCAUGCCGCGUGAGUGAGAAGGCCUUCGGGUUGUAAAGCUCUUUCAGCAGGAACGAAAAGGUAGCGGUUAAUAACCGCUGCCGAUGACGGUACCUGAAGAAGAAGCACCGGCUAACUACGUGCCAGCAGCCGCGGUAAUACGUAGGGUGCGAGCGUUAAUCGGAAUUACUGGGCGUAAAGCGUGCGCAGGCGGUUUCUUAAGCCAGAUGUGAAAGCCCCGGGCUUAACCUGGGAAUUGCGUUUGGAACUGGGAGACUAGAGUGUGGCAGAGGGAGGUAGAAUUCCACGUGUAGCAGUGAAAUGCGUAGAGAUGUGGAGGAAUACCGAUGGCGAAGGCAGCCUCCUGGGCCAACACUGACGCUCAUGCACGAAAGCGUGGGGAGCAAACAGGAUUAGAUACCCUGGUAGUCCACGCCCUAAACGAUGUCAACUGGUUGUUGGAGGAGUUAAAUCCUUUAGUAACGAAGCUAACGCGUGAAGUUGACCGCCUGGGAAGUACGGCCGCAAGGUUA